GAUGUUAUUUAUGAUAUGCAAUUGAAUUGAAUAGAUUUGGGCCAUUCGGAGUCGGGUAGUCGUGGCAAAGGCAUGAUUCCUAGUUGACUUUGAGCCGAUUCGAGGUAAGUUGCUUGUCUAACCUUGUGUGUAGGAAUUCUUCCCUUGGGGUAUGAUAAUUGGUAAUUGUAUUACCUUGCGCGUGAGGUGACGAGCGCGUGCUUGAGCAAGUUUUUGAAAAAAAUCUAGUUUUCUUGAGGUAUUCCUUAGCAUGUUCUUUUACGCGGCUUUACUGUAAUUGUUGACUUAACCUGUUAUUAGUUAGAAGAGCAUGUUUAGUUGACUUAAAUUGCCUAUUUACUUAUACUGCCUUAAUUGCAUUACGUGCAUCACUUUAGGCUAGAAUUGACUGUUUACUUAUACUAUGUUGGCAUUUUAUUUAAUAUUCUUGUGUCACUGUUAUGUAUUUUAAAUUGGGACUAUAGAACGACAUUCCGGGAGAUCCCCUAUAUGGAAGUUAUGAUUUGGAUUGAGAUCCUCGAGAUACCAAGAGAUCCCUAGCAUUUAUAUUGAGGAUAUAAUUGUUGAUACCAAUAUAUCCUUAGGAUACCAAGAGAUCCCUGGAAUUUAAAUUGAGGACACCAAGAGAUCCCUAUCAUUUAUAUUGAGGAUACCAAGAGAUCCUCGAGAAACCAAGAGAUCCCUG
rnacentral:lncRNA from 1 species